rnacentral:lncRNA from 1 species
AUUUCAAUUUGCUUUUGAUUACAUCGAAUUGAAAGUACAACAUUAUACCACUUAUAAUUAUAUUGCUAACAUUUGAUCGAUGGUGUUUCCAAUUAGUCCCACCCUCAUACAAUUUGUUUUCACUGCUUUUAUCAUGUACUGGACUCUGGCCAGCCGGCCAAUGUUCACUAGUGUUCACUUCAGGAGUUCAGGUACAUAGAAAAUCAAGACGAAAAACUCCAAGGCCAUUUAGAUACUUAACGAGGGAUAGUUUAUAGAUAAAGCACGCACAUUACAUAGGCACGCGCAUAGUACGACGCACACAAUAUCAGUUCACCACUCUGCUCUGCUUGCGGAGCCUACCGACACCCAGGCCAGAACACCAUGGACUGCAUGCACACAGAUCCAUCGACCCUAAAACCACACACGACGACUAGGUAGAACGACACGGAUCUGGCCGCCAAGGCCUAGCUAAGCUUCAGUACUAGUAGCAGCAAUUUAUUCUCCGGACAUGGGACUCCUCG